AAAAAUAAUAAAUAAAAAAAAAUGGUGAUUAAAAAAAUAAUAAAUAAAAAAUGGCGAUGAACAAUAAAACAUAAGAGAGAGAAAAUAAAGAAUGAAAAAAAAACGUAAAACAAAAAGAAAAGAAAGAAAAAAACAUGAAAAAAAAAUAGAAGAAAGUAUAAAAAACAAAUAUGAAGGAAUGAGUUAAGAAAAAGUUGCAUGAGAGAACAGAGAGUUGCGUGAAAUUA
rnacentral:lncRNA from 1 species